CCCAUUUAAGCCAACAAUCCUCCCUCCAGCACCUGCACACAUUUGCAGCAUGCAGGAAUCGAACCCGUGACCUCUAGCUCUGAUACCACUUGUCGGAUCGUUGGCGCUAACCAUUAAUUCCAAAAGCUCGAGCUGUUAGAAAUACGCAACCAAUUUACUUAAGGCGUACAGAAACAAUGCCCACGGGUCUCAAUUGUGACUCGGCCCACCUGGCCUCACGCCACUUCGAACAUAACUCGGCCCAACCCAGCCUCACGCCAUUUCGAACAUGACUCGGCCCACAUGGCCUCCCGCCACAGGGCAGGAUGCUGGCCCAUUUAAGCCAACAGUAGCAACGCAUGAAACUCAGACAGAUCAAGCAUUUAAUUUUUUAUUAGGGUAACUACAUAUGACUCUAUGUAAAGACAUCAAAUAACAAAUAUAUUUCUACAAAAUUAAGUUAUCAAAUUUAUUUCUCCAAAAAUUCUUCCAUCUAC
rnacentral:lncRNA from 1 species